rnacentral:rRNA from 1 species
UACGGGGGGAGCAAGCGUUGUUCGGAUUUACUGGGCGUAAAGGGCGCGUAGGCGGCGUGACAAGUCACUUGUGAAAUCUCCGGGCUUAACUCGGAACGGUCAAGUGAUACUGUCGUGCUAGAGUACAGAAGGGCAACUGGAAUUCUCGGUGUAGCGGUGAAAUGCGUAGAUAUCGAGAGGAACACCUGCGGCGAAGGCGGGUUGCUGGGCUGAUACUGACGCUGAGGCGCGAAAGCUAGGGGAGCGAACGGG